rnacentral:rRNA from 1 species
AGCGGCGAACGGGUGAGUAACACGUAGGUGAUCUGCCCAUCAGACGGGGACAACGAUUGGAAACGAUCGCUAAUACCGGAUAGGACGAAAGUUUAAAGGUGCUUCUGGCACCGCUGAUGGAUGAGCCUGCGGCGCAUUAGCUAGUUGGUAGGGUAAAGGCCUACCAAGGCGACGAUGCGUAGCCGACCUGAGAGGGUGAACGGCCACACUGAGACUGAGACACGGCCCAGACUCCUACGGGAGGCAGCAGUAGGGAAUCUUCGGCAAUGGGCGAAAGCCUGACCGAGCAACGCCGCGUGAAUGAUGAAGGCCUUCGGGUUGUAAAAUUCUGUUAUAAGGGAAGAACGACUUUAGUAGGAAAUGGCUAGAGUGUGACGGUACCUUAUGAGAAAGCCACGGCUAACUACGUGCCAGCAGCCGCGGUAAUACGUAGGUGGCGAGCGUUAUCCGGAAUUAUUGGGCGUAAAGAGCGCGCAGGUGGUUGAUUAAGUCUGAUGUGAAAGCCCACGGCUUAACCGUGGAGGGUCAUUGGAAACUGGUCGACUUGAGUGCAGAAGAGGGAAGUGGAAUUCCAUGUGUAGCGGUGAAAUGCGUAGAGAUAUGGAGGAACACCAGUGGCGAAGGCGGCUUCCUGGUCUGUAACUGACACUGAGGCGCGAAAGCGUGGGGAGCAAACAGGAUUAGAUACCCCGGUAGUCCACGCCGUAAACGAUGAAUACUAGGUGU